CCUACGGGAGGCAGCAGUAGGGAAUCUUCCACAAUGGGCGAAAGCCUGAUGGAGCAACGCCGCGUGGGUGAAGAAGGUCUUCGGAUCGUAAAACCCUGUUGUUAGAGAAGAAAGUGCGUGAGAGUAACUGUUCACGUUUCGACGGUAUCUAACCAGAAAGCCACGGCUAACUACGUGCCAGCAGCCGCGGUAAUACGUAGGUGGCAAGCGUUAUCCGGAUUUAUUUGGCGUAAAGGAAACGCAGGCGGUCUAUUAAGUCUGAUGUGCAAGCCUUCGGCUUAACCGGCGUAGUGCAUUGGAAACUGGGAGACUUGAGUGCAGAAGAGGAGAGUGGAACUCCAGGUGUAGCGGUGAAAUGCGUAGAUAUAUGGAAGAACACCAGUGGCGAAGGCGGCUCUCUGGUCUGUAACUGACGCUGAGGUUCGAAAGCGUGGGUAGCAAACAGGAUUAGAUACCCUUGUAGUC
rnacentral:rRNA from 1 species